rnacentral:rRNA from 1 species
AUGGUGAUCUGCGAAUGGCUCAUUAAAACAGCUAUAAUCUACUCGAUCUUGUAUCCUAAACGGAUAACUGCGCUAAUUUUGGAGCUAAUACGUGCAUCAAAGCCCUGACUCACGGAGGGGCGCACUUAUUAGACUAAGACCGAUCGGGCUUGCCCGUCUUGGUGACUCUGAAUAAUUUAGCGGAUCGCAUGGUCUUGUACCGGCGACGUAUCGUUCGAGUAUCUGCCUUAUCAACUUUCGAUGGAAGUCUAUGUGACUACCAUGGUUGUAACGGGUAACGGAGAAUAAGGGUUCGACUCCGGAGAGGGAGCCUGAGAAACGGCUACCACAUCCAAGGAAGGCAGCAGGCGCGUAAAUUACCCACUCUCAAUGCGAGGAGGUAGUAACUAUCAAUAACGAGACAGAUCUCUAUGAGGCCUGUUAUCGGAAUGGGUACAAUUUAAACCCUUUAACGAGGAUCUAUGAGAGGGCAAGUCUGGUGCCAGCAGCCGCGGUAAUUCCAGCUCUCAAGGUGUAUAUCGUCCUUGCUGCGGUUAAAAAGCUCGUAGUUGGAUCUGAGUCUGUGGGCAUGGUACACCCAGUGUGCAACUGUGUCCCGGACUGAAUUGUUGGUUUUCUGCGGUAGUCUUUACCGGCUGUCGUAGUGGCUAACGAGUUUACCUUGAAUAAAUCAGAGUGCUCAAGACAAGCGUUUCGCUUGAAUAUUCGUGCAUGGAAUAAUGGAACAGGACUUCGGUUCGUUCUAUUGGUCUCAGAACCGAUGUAAUGGUUAAGAGGGACAGANGGGGGCAUCCGUAUCGCUGCGUGAGAGGUGAAAU